CCAAAACCACCAGCCACAGCUUAUCCCUGGCUUCCGGUUUCCUCCAAUUUUCGGGUCCUCUAGUCCCCUCCUCUCUAUAUAAGCAAUCCCCAGCUUGUCAUCUCCACCAUCAAACACCAUUUCCCUUCUCAAUUACAUCUCAACUUUUUCAAAACGUUGUCCAUCUUCUAGCUCUUCAGUUCAAUCGAAAGAAAUAGAAAAAUGAGUUCAACAAGCAAAGCUUGGGCUGUUGCCACUAGUAUUGCAGCUGUGGAGGCUUUGAAAGAUCAAGGAUUUUGCAGAUGGAACUACACAAUAAGAUCACUAUACCAACAUGCCAAGAACCAAGGCAAGUCAUCCUCUCUGCCCAAGAAGCUCUCUUCUCCAGCUUCUACUGUGGUUGCCGGUAAAGUAAGAGAGAAUCAGAAAGCAAGGCAAUCCGACGAGUCACUGAGGCAGGUCAUGUACUUGAGUUGCUGGGGUCCUUACUAGCCAGGCAGUGAACUACCAGCAAGGAACUAUGGCCAUGCAUGCACUGGUUGCAGCAUAGAGACAAUCGAAGUCUUUCCAAGAGAGACUUAUUUGGAGAAACAUGACAAGGCCGACUUCUUAUGACGAUGGACGCUGGAACCCAUCAACGAUUAGUCAGCUUCAUUUGAAUGUUAUGCUCUAGCAAUAUAUGUUUCAAUCAAUUGUAGCCCAAUGAAUUGCUGAAUGAUGGGAGCAAAUUCUUUCCAUUGCUGCAACAACUUGCAAGUGAUGUAAAUUGUAAUUUUUCAGAAUGUAACGGCAUUUAAAUUAAGACUCAAUUGAAUCAGUAAGCUAAUUACAUGAGUGGAUUAAAGUCUUGUUCUCUGCUUUUAGCCCAUAGGGAAUAAUUACUACAACGUCAAAACCUGUGUGCCUUCAUGAAACUUGGACUGUGGCAGAGUGGAUGAACCUCACACGACACUUUCUACUAUAAGUUUAUAUAUUGGGAUUAGGCUGCAGUCAAGUCUUGAGUAACAAAAAUUAAACCGGGUGGGGUUUUUUAUUGUGGCAGUGUGCGACAUCGCGGCGAAAAAUAUAAGUGUUUUUCAUUUUAAAUCGACAAUGUAAAUCUAUAUCUAUUUUAAAUCUACAAUGUAAAUCUAUAUCUAUUUGGCAAAUGGAGAGACAAGAAAUUCUUGUUUUUUGUUGGUGGAAAAUGGAAUGGGAGUCGUCACCUAGUAUUUUGGUCACUAGAAAUUUUAACUGGUCUCAGAGAUCGGGCACGGGGACUGGUUGCGUAAAGAGAAGGUAUUAGCACCCCAAAUACGCCUUACCUAAGAUAAGCUGCAUUAUUUUAUUGUCUGAUAAAAUCUAAGGUCUUUUCGUGUUUUCCUAGUUGUUGGUAUAGUUCAAGAAAAGUCCUCCUCGGUAAGGAGAUCCUUAUCUUAAUGGGUAAUUCUGACGUUAACAAAAGAAUUUAAUAUUCAGAAUAUGUCUUACGUAUAAGAUCGUAACCCCAAAUACUAAGUCCUCCUCGGUAAGGAGAUCCUUAUCUUAAUGGGUAAUUCUGACGUUAACAAAAGAAUUUAAUAUUUGGAAUACGUCUUACGUAUAAGAUCGUAACCCCAAAUACUAAAAGAAAACACAAUAAUUUUUUUGGAAGUUUUGAAAUAUUGGUCUAGUUCUCAUGGCUUGAAUAAACUGGUUAUUAAAGCCAACAUGCAUGUUAAUACAUAUAUUGUUUUGAAGUUUCCUUUGUUGCGUGAAAAUACGAUGUUAUAAUAUUUAUAUAUAUAUAUUGGAGAGACUAGGCCGUAUGCAUUAAAACAAAAACAUUUUUUUUAUAUAUAUAUUUUUGAUGUUUUGACGAAAACCGGGUAUUUUAAUACUUGAUUUGUAUCUUUACGGUAUAAAAAUACAAACCAAUAUUAAACCAUUUUGACAAAAAAAUAUGCAGGAAAAUCAUAGGAUUUUUUAUAAUAUAUUUUUUUGAAAGCAAAACAUUUUUUAUUUUAAAAUUUUUUGAUGUUUUGACGGAAACCGAGUAUUUUAAUACUAGAUUUGUAUCUUUACAGUAUAAAAAUACAAACCAAUAUUAAACCAUUUUGACAAAAAUAUGCAGGAAAAUAAACAAUAUUUUUUUCAAAUAUUUUUUAGAAUAUUUCUUUUUAUUUUAUACACACACAUAAUAUAAAACAAUAUAAUAUAUAAUAUAAUAUAUAAUAUAAUAUAUAAUAUAAUAUAUUAUGUGGGCUGGGCCGACCCAAAUAAAUGGGCCAGGCUCAGCCCAGCAUGGAUUGGGCCAAUCUCGGCCCAUUCAAUCUCUCAUUUUUGUCUGGGCCAGACUGGCCCAGAAUCAAUCUGGCCCAGCGCAAGAAACCCAUCGAGAGGGGAAUUAUUUUUCCCCUCCUAUCAAUUCUACAUGCAGGAGGAAAACGCCACGAGAAAAAAAUGCAGGGAGAAGACUUUACCUGGCGUGGAGGAGGUGGUCGUUGGUGGUGCUGCGAUGGAGGCCGGUGGCGGUGUCGUGGCUCACGGACGGCGGCUCCAAGCGGCGGUGCUGCUGUUUCAAACGGCGGAGGGUGAGGAUACUGCUCUUCCUUUCUCCUCCGUAUGGCUUCCUCUUCUUUCGUUUUUGGUGGUUUCCUCAGUUCGGGUUUGCUAGUUGUUCUUUUUGGUUCGGUUCUUUCCCUCCUUUUCCUAUGUUUUCUCUUUUUUUUUCUUUCGGUUUGUUCCUUCUCUUCCCUCUCUACUGAUCGUUCUCUCUCUUCGGGUUUUCUCCUUUCUUUCCCCUCUCUCUAUUCGAGCCUCUCUUUUCGUUUUCUUUUUUUUCCUCUUUUUUCCUCCCCCUCGCGUGCUGGCGUCCAGUCUUCAUUUAUAUGGGGCAAGGGAGCGGGGGCGUCGCUAUUGCCACCCUAUGGCAGCGCACGGGGAGCAGGGCUUUGCUGCCCUGCCACAGCGCCGGGCUGGCUGGCCAGUGGGCGUGGCUGGUAGGGCGCGGCUCCCUCGACUUUUCAUCAUGAGAGCGCAUGGGGGGGCGGUUUUGGCAGAUGUGGCAUGUCGGGUUCAACGACGAAAGAAGAAAAAAUUGCCUUCCCCUGCUGCACGUCCAGGGGAAGAGAUAGGGAACAGUGUCGUUCAAAACGACACUAUUCUGUUUUUUUUUUUUUUAACAUGAAACGGCGCCAUUUUAGACAAAACGCGCCGUUUCAUUUAAAUCAAAAAGGGGCGCCGAAAGGCGUCAUUGUCCAAGUCAGUCCUUAAUUAUAUUUUGUUCAUUUCAAUUGCAUCCCUUCCAAUUUCGGUCGCCACCCCUAUAUUUGUCCGCGUUUUUCACUUCAAUCCUUGGCCUCUGAUUUAUGCAAUUUGACCCUCAAUUAAUCAAUAAACUUCCAAUUUCUUCAAUUUAGCCCAUGAUUUUGUUAAUUACAACCCCUAUAUUUACACGCCUUUUCCAAUUUGGUCCUUGGUUUCGGAUAUUCUCAAUUCAGUCCCUAAUUGGCCAUUAAAGUUCAAUAUUUAUGCAAUUAAGCCCUUGAUUUGACCAAAUCAAUUCCUAAAAAUUAUAAUUUGACCCCAGAACUUUAAUUUCUUCCAAUUAAAGCCCAAAUUGACAUAAAAAUCAAUUUUUCUUGCAAUCAAAACCUCUAUAAAUUCAAUUAAACUUGCAAUAAAAUCCAAUUAAGUCCAUAAACAUCCAAUUUUGAACUUUUCUCUUCAAAUUGAAUUUUUUUCUUUUCCAACUGGGCUUUCAUCAUUCAAGGAUACACUGUCAAAAUUUCAAUCUUUGUAUUUUUAACCUCCUAUUAUUUUUUUAUUUUUUUAAUUUCUUCCGGCUAUAUAUAUAUAUAUAUAUUUAUUAUUAUUAUUAUUUAUUACUUUUAUUAUUUAUUUUGAUUUUUAUUAUUUUUGUUAUUAUUAUAUUUUUUAUUUAUUUUUAUUUUUAUUUUUAUUUUUGUGUGGGGACCCAAAAAUGGGUUACAACAUCGAUGUUGAAGAUGCACUAUUUACUUUUUCAAAGAGAUGAUUGGAUUAAAAGAAAAAAAAAGAAGAAGGUAAAAUGUAAGGUGAUUUUGAAUUUUAUAUAAAAAGUUUAUCGUGGUUUUUUAUAUAUUUAUUUUUAUAGAUGAUUGGUCCGAAAUUAAAUUUAGAUAUCAAUUUUUUUUUUAGUUUUUUUUUAAGAGGAAAGGACUAUUGGAUUAGUAGAGAGAGAAAAAAUAAUUAUUAACGAUUAUUCUAGCCAUAAAAAAUAAUUAAAAUUGGUGUUAAUAGAUUAUAUUUUUUACAACGAUAUUUAGUUGACGGAUUCGGCGAAAAAACAAACUAUGCGUAGUUUGUUGUCUUCAUUCUCGAGGGUUGGGUUGGAAGGCUUACGUGUUUGUAUUGCUUUUAUUUUUUUUUAUUUUUUGAUAUUUUAUAUUUUAAUUAAAAAAUUAAUAAAAAAUUUAUUAAAUUCAAUCAAAUUCAUGAGGAGUUUCUGCUUCUCAAAAAAAAAAAAAAAAUCAUCUCUUAUUAAUGAUGAUCUAUUUUUUUAACUCCAACUUAAAAUAGUGCAAUUUUAAUUUUACUAUUAUUAUCAAUAAUAUACUUUUGCUAUAUUAGCACCACGUCCCUAUCAUGAUUUUUUUACUUAACAAAAAAUAUUUCAUACAAAAAAAUUAUCAUGUGCUUUAUUGUUUUUAUUGUUAUGUAAUUAAAUGAAAAAUAAUUUUUGGAAUCAAAAAAUUAUUGAAUUUGAUGACUAACAUGAUUUGCUUUGUGAGUUUGACUGGCCGAGUCGAGUUGAUUUAAGUUUUUAAAUUAAAUACUAUUUUUUUAACCGAUUUUGUUCUUCAACAUUGAGUUAAUUUAAGAUUAAGCUUUUAAUUUGUUUUUUUAUUUUAUUUUUCAGAUUAUCCCUACAACUUUUAUAUCACAUCCAUGUUAAUUUAGGUAAAUCAAAUAUUUUUUUUUAUCUUAAUAUUAAAUAAAAAUAUCGUUCAAUUCAUAAUUAAAAUCUAGUUUUUUAGAAGACACAUCACUAAUAUUUAAAUAAUUUUUUUGUUUUUAAUUUAAAAUCUGCUCCAAACCCACGGCAUAGGGCGGUAGUUCAAAGCUCCGUAAAAGGAAUUCACAAGUUAGAGCAAAUAUUUGGAGUAAUUAUUCAUAAUCUUUCGUAAAAUAGGUAAACCAAUUUAUUUUCUGAUCACAGUCCAUGUCGUUUCCAUAUCAACAUUAUGCAUCACGAGUCAUUUUUGCUUUUUUUGAACCCCUUGCAACUAAAGUUAUUAAAUUGGAUAUGCUAAUAACUUAUUUUAAGAUUUGGACUAAACAAGUUAAUUUAAAUUGUUUUUAUUAAUUAAAAUAAUAUUAUUUAAUUUAUUUUUUAAAAUUAAAUUAAGUUUGAAACUAAUUCAAUCAUGUGAUAAUUUGAUCCAUCAUAUAGUUUAACUAAGUUAAUUAUCAUCUACUUUUUUAAAAAAUUAACUUGAUUCAGGUUUAAUAAUAAUUAUCAAAACUUGAGAACUGUUUUUUCCUUAAGUUUUACUUAUUUAUUUAUCUUUUUAGUGAUAUAUAAAUCGUUAAAAAAUAAUAUAAAUUAUAUCCUGGAAUUUUGCCUAACCGAUUAAGCUAUUAAGUUAAGAUGGUUUUUUGAUAUAGUAUCAGAGCGUUGAUGAUCAAGCGGUCACGAGUUCGAAUCUCACCAUCCCUAUUUAUUUAAUAAAAAUCAAACACAAGAUAAUAUGAGUUUGUGCAAGUUUCAAGUCCAAAUGACUUUUAUUUGAGGAGGUGUCAAUUUAAACUAUUAAAUUGAAAUAAUUUUUUUGAAACGGAAGGAUUCACAAUUAUUGUGUUCAUGAUGUGAUCCUAUACUUUUUCCUGUUUUUGAGUAGAUGACUAGAUAAAAUUUAUUUAAAAAAAAAAAUCAAAACGACAUUGUUUUAGUAAAAAAGAAAACAAAAAAAAUAAAAGCCAAUAAGUUUGUGGCCGGGUCUUUACCAGAUCUUUCCAGGUCAGCCGGAUCACACCAAAUUUUUCCUUUCUUUAUUUUUUUUUCAACCCGGUCCGGUUUCGUUCCCGGAUCGACCUACCAGGUCAUCAGGUUUCAAAACUAUGUCGAAGGUUACCACCUUUGGUUUUUUAUCUCUAUUUUUUAAAUGACCAAGUUGUAUUCCAAUAAUUAAAGGGGAAAUAGAGACCACUUGUCUUAUAAAAAAUACCGUUGGCUUUUGCUGGUUUCCUCACUCAAAACCACCACGAAGAAGCCUUGAGCCUCUGGUUUUUCUCCUACAAUUUUGGUACACACUCACCUAUAUAACCAAACCCCUUUACUCCCAUUUACUUCAUCAAAUCAUAACUCCUGAUAUCUUAAUCUCUCCAAAUCCCACUUCAAAGAGUUUCCAGCUCGUUGGUUCUAUAUUACAGUAACACAGAAAAUGAGUUCAGCAAGCAAAGCUUGGUUGGUUGCAGCAGCUGUUGGAGGAGUCGAGGCCUUGAAAGACCAAGGGUUCUGUAGGUGGAACUAUACCUUGAGAUCGCUACACCAACAUGCCAAGAACCAUGUCAGAUCAGCCUCUCAGGCCAAGAAGCUUUCUUCUUCAUCUUCUGCUAUGAUCUCGAAUAAAAUCAAGGAAGUGAAAGCAAAACAGUCUGAGGAAUCUCUAAGAAAAGUCAUGUAUUCGAGCUGUUGGGGUCCUUACUAAGCAAAGAAGCUAGAACAGAUUGAGGAAGUUAUCGUGAUAGGAUUAUCCUGAUUGUUGCAAGUUGAUGUAAAUUGAUUCGUAAAUAUUGUUGCUGACUUCAGGGAAUCAAACCAUAUUACUUUUGGAUUAAUUUUGGCUUACACCAUUUAUUUUAUAAUUUCUGUUUUCCCAUUUCUUUUCUCAGGCCCUCAUGUCGCAAAGUGAUAAGGAUCAUGACAAGGUUAAUUUUAGUGCACCACAGCUAAAAAAAUUAAAUUGAGGGGCAUUUGUCAAAGAUAUUUGAAUCAAUCGGAAUCUCACUAGAAUCUAAAUUAUAGUUUGGUAAAAAUAAAAAUUCAGUUCAAGAAACAUUAGAUUUAGAACUUAAACUGGUUUUUCUAGGACAAAAAUAGAUUAAGAAAUAAUUAUUGGACUUGUUCCCUUUUGGAGCCAAAAGGAAGUUCUUUAUGUCUUUUGCUUUUCGGCAUAAAUGAAGAUCAAUAGGGAUUAUUUUCUUCGAUGUCAAAACUUAUGAAAUUUCAAGAAACUUGGGAAUGGUGCAAAAUGGUUGAACUGGCACAAAAAAUUAACAUUUUCUUGAAUCUCUGAAAGAUGAAUUAGAUCGCAAGAAAUACUUUUUUUGAAGUGAAUAAUGUUUCGUAAUGUAAGGGAAUCAUUUGUCCACUACUCGUAAGAAAAUAAAUUAUUUGGAUAAAUAAUCGGGUUUUUUUUUUUUUUAAGGUUGAUCUUUACCUAACAGUGUAAAUAUUAUCAUUAAUUUUUUUUUUAUGUAUAUUUUAAAGGUUGUGAAGUAAUAUCAUAAUUUAUUAAUCUGUUUUUAGUGGUUAUUUUUCUAAAAUUAGUAUUUUUUUAAUAAAUUUUGACAGAACAAUAUCAUUUGAAAAUAUUUUUGGUUAAAUAAUACAUUUUCACCUGAUCGUAUUUCUGAAGUGUAACAUUUACUAAAUAUCAUUGUUUCUAAAAGUGACUAGGUGAAUUUCCAAUCACCUGGCAGAAGUGCUUGACUAAUUGAAUUUAGUUGUAUGAAUUGGUUUAUUGUUUUAAAAAAAAUUAUAAUUUAAUAAUUUUUUUCUUUCAAAUAUAUUUUAAGAGUUCAAUAUCUUUAUUCAACUUGUAGAUUCAAAAAUAGAAUCCAAUUAAAAUCUCAAAAAGUUAUUAUACACAAAAUGCUUGUCUUCUAUUUUUUAAUAUCAAUGAUGUAGUUGGAUUUGUGAUAAUAAGUGAUUCUAAGUAGUCAGGUGUGACUCUACCAUAACUAAAUGAGAUUUGGCCCAAAUAUAUUACUUGAUGAUCUAACAUAUGUAUUUAUGAACCAAUGAGACAUAUCUAAACUCAGAAAGAAGGUUUAAUCACGCCAAACCAAAAUAACUCUCAAAAGGACCAUAACUUCUGAUUAGAUGCUCAAAUUCUUUAUAGAAGUUCUCGGAGGUUGUUUUCCUUAUAGUAAUCAUUGCGUCGCUAUGCGAACCAUCAAAUUUUUAGAUAUAAAAAAUCUAGCUGAGGCCUCUCAAAUUUAGCAGUUUUAAGAUUUUUUUUGUUAUUUUUAGAAUUAAUCGACCAAUUUCACUAAUCAUUAUGAAUCUUUCAACUAGUUGAUGCAAAUAAUUGAAAUUUUACCUUGUCGUGCUUUAGAAGCACAAUAUUUAUUAAAUAUUGUUAUUCUAAAACGUGAUAAUUAUUUUAUUUCUUUUAAAGAUAACAAUAUUUAAUAAAUAUUGUAUUUUUAAAAUGCAAUAAAGUGAAAAUAUACCAUUUCAUUAAAAAAUUUGUUUCUCUACUAAUUUGCCAAUUAUUUUGAUUUUAUAUACUAUUUUUUCAAUUUAUCCCCCGUGUAACAUGGCUAGUAGUUACAAUGUGCUGGUUCUUUAAUUUUUUUUGUUCUCAAGUGUGAUACAUAACAAUUAAUUUUUUUGCCACGAUUGUUAUUUUGGAAAAAAAAAAAUCGUAUCUUGUGACACAUGCAAUGGAUCUACAAUUAUUAUUGUCUUCAGGAGGUAAUCCUGUCCGUUCCCUGUUUUUGAGUAGAUGCCUAGACAAAUGCUAAAAUGCUAUCCUUCCAGCCCCACUAUUAAAGAAAAACAAGUGGAUUUGCCUCCAAUAAUACUUGAGGCUCAAUUUUGAUUUUUAUAAAGCAAACCGUGUGCCUCUUACCAAAAACAAGUCUCCACUCCAGCUUUGUCGUCAUUGAAUAUGAUAAGAUGCAUGAAAAAGAAAUCCCCCAUUUUUUCUCCAUUUGUAUUUAUUGCCACCAAGUGGUCCUUGAUGGACAUAAAGAUUCAGUCCCAUCCUCAGUCCCAUCGUAGCCUAACUGCACUAAAAUAAUACCACUGGCUUUAACUUGUGCCAAAACCACCAGCCACAGCUUAUCCCUGGCUUCCGGUUUCCUCCAAUUUUCGGGUCCCCUAGUCCCCUCCUCUCUAUAUAAACAAUCCCCAGCCUGUCAUCUACACCAUCAAACACAAUUUCCCUUCUCAAUUACAUCUUAACUUUUUCAAAACAUUGUCCAUCUUCUAGCUGUUCAGUUCAAUCAAAAGAAAUAGAAAAAUGAGUUCAACAAGCAAAGCUUGGGCUGUUGCCACUAGUAUUGCAGCUGUGGAGGCUUUGAAAGAUCCAAGGAUUUUGCAGAUGGAACUACACAAUAAGAUCACUAUACCAACAUGCCAAGAACCAAGGCAAGUCAUCCUCUCUGCCCAAGAAGCUCUCUUCUCCAGUUUCUACUGUGGUUGCAAGUAAAGUAAGAGAGAAUCAGAAAGCAAGGCAAUCCGACGAGUCACUGAGGCAGGUCAUGUACUUGAGUUGCUGGGGUCCUUACUAGCUAGGCAGUAAACUACCAGCAAGGAACUAUGGCCAUGCAUGGACUGGUUGCAGCAUAGAGACAAUCGAAGUCUUUCCAAGAGAGACUCAUUUGGCGAAACAUGACAAGGCCGACUUCUUAUGGCGAUGGACGCUGGAACCCAUCAACGAUUAUUCAGCUUCAUUUGAAUGUUAUGCUCUAGCAAUACAUGUUUCAAUGAAUUGCUGAAUGAAGGGAGCAAAUUGUAAUUUUUCAGAAUGAAACGGCAUUUAAAAUUAGGACUCAAUUGAAUCAGUAAGCAAAUUACAUGAGUGGAUUAAAGUCUUGUUCUCUGCUUUUAGCCCAUAGGGAUUAAUUACUACGACGUCAAAACUUGUGUGCCUUCAUGAAACUUGGACAGUGUCAGAGUGGAUGAACCUAACACGACACUUUCUACUAUAAGUUUAUGUAUUGGGGUUAGGCUGCAGUCAAGUCUUGAGUAACAUGAUGUAAUUAAUUAACAAAAAUCAAACCGCGUGGGGUUUUCAAUGUUGAAGAAGCACAGUUUACUUUUUCGAAAGAGAUGAUUGGAUUUAAAAGGAAAAAAAAAAGGUAAAAUAAAUAAUGAUUUUGAAUUUUAUAUAAAAAGUUUAUCCGGG
rnacentral:lncRNA from 1 species